rnacentral:rRNA from 1 species
AUGUCAUGUGCAUUAUAUAUGACCACUAUUUGCACCCAAGACAUGCUUGCCAUGAUUCCUCCUAGUAUGUUGCAUCUUCGCACUACUAGCUUGCUUGACUUGAUUGCUAUGGUUGCUUGCUUGGUUACAUCACCCAUGUUCCACUCUUACUCGCUUUCUUGGGUUGAUGACAUAUAUGUUCAUGCCUCUCACAUGAUAUAUCUUGAUCAUUGUCUCUUGUGUACAUUAGUAGCCUCUUUCAUAUCCACUUGUAUUGAGUGCAAGCAUACUAUGCUUAUUGAUCUUGGAGACUUUGACACCUUACUUGUGAUGCAUGCUUGUUUGAUUGAGCCUAUUGCAUUUGGUUGUUCUCGCAUCAUAUGCCUCCAUACUAUGCAAUAUUACCUUGUCAUUUCUUAUGAUGAGCAUUAUACAUACACUUGUUGGAUAUCUUCCCACACGAAUGAUAGGUUUUGCCCUUCCGCUAACCUCAUUUGUUUUUCCAAGUGUUUGUCAUGUUCUUUCAUUUUGAAGGAUUUAAAAGGCGGUACCACCACGAGACAUAUUGGUUAUGUGAGGGCAUACAUGAUGCGCGACUCCAUCAUCAUUGAGAAACUCCUCAAGGUGACAUCCUUCCCUUUGAGCCAUCCUCAAAUACGCACAUUGGAUGGGUCACUCUUUCAUUGUUGUUUCCUUCUUGUUUUCUACAUGAUACAUCUCACAAACGGAGGAGCGACAUUGGAGAUUGGCUCUAUGGACCUUCAAGUUGAGGAGCGCUCGCACUUCUUGGAUGCACCUUCGGAACCCCACUCAUGCGACGACAUCGAGCUUUGGUACAUCAACAAUCCUUUGACUUUUUGUACCACAACCUCCAUAUUGGUUGAUUAUGCUUCCACAUGUCAUGCUCGAUGGACAUCUCAUACUCACCGCAAGUUUGCACCCUAUGCAUGGAUUGACACACAUUAUGAAUGCCUUGUUGCAUCUCAUAUUCCCAUGAUAUUUGAGCUUGUACAUUUCCUUAGCCAAUUCGUUGUGAUCUCUCUUGAUGGCAUAUUCAUAUAUCAUAAUCUUAUUGCCCACCAUCAACUACAUGAUAACUUUUUCAUAUUGAGCAUCCAUUGCCAUAUUCAUGCUAUUGAUAAACCGUCUAACUAUGACAUCAUUUUGCACCGUGGUUGCAUUGAUCAUAUUCACAACACAUUUGUGUGCACAAUUAAUACUUUUGCUCCUAUGAACGCUUUGCAUCUCAUUCUAUUUCAUCUUGAUAAGCUUCAUGCGCUUUGCCACGAACAAUCUUGCCGCACGGACUCAUUCUUACUUAAUGGACACUUUGUAUGCGCUAACUAUUGUAUUUCCGAGUGUCAUUUGUGUUUGCUGUUUUUGCACGUCUACUCCUCCGGCGACAUCUUGGAGUACUUGGAUUGCGCCAUGACUUCCACUUCAUCCAACUACAAGUCCAUCCACGACAACCGUUUCCGUGGUGAUGAGGAUCACGAUCCGAGGUCGGAUCUCUCCCAAGGGGGGGGGAGAUGA